UGAGGAAUAUUGGUCAAUGGACGCAAGUCUGAACCAGCCAAGUAGCGUGCAGGAUGACGGCCCUAUGGGUUGUAAACUGCUUUUAUAUGGGGAUAAAGUGGGGAACGUGUUCCCUUUUGCAGGUACCAUAUGAAUAAGGACCGGCUAAUUCCGUGCCAGCAGCCGCGGUAAUACGGAAGGUCCAGGCGUUAUCCGGAUUUAUUGGGUUUAAAGGGAGCGUAGGCUGUUUGUUAAGCGUGUUGUGAAAUGUAAGAGCUCAACUUUUAGAUUGCAGCGCGAACUGGCAGACUUGAGUGCGCACAACGUAGGCGGAAUUCAUGGUGUAGCGAUGAAAUGCUUAGAUAUCAUGACGAACUCCGAUUGCGAAGGCAGCUUACGGGAGCGAAACUGACGCUAAAGCUCGAAGGUGCGGGUAUCGAACAGG
rnacentral:rRNA from 1 species